rfam:Aedes aegypti strain Liverpool supercont1.147 genomic scaffold, whole genome shotgun sequence.
UGCCCAGUAACUCCUAUCCCUACCUCCUCGCGGUACUGGCCGGGGUACGAGUAACCUUAGGGAAGAUCGAGUAACCAACCCCCGGCGGGAACUUUGGUCGUAUGCUGACAGGGAAGG